ensembl:lncRNA
CGUUGGGGCUGCAGUAUGGUACUUUUAUACACAUGAAGAUCGAAGGCGUAUGUUUAGACUUUUUUGGCAGCGUGUCCCAACAAAUGAACCAGCUAUUAACAGUGCAGCGCAACAAGAACAACAACAGAUGGAGCAAUCUCUGUGACAGCUGUGGAAGCAAAGGAUGAGAAUCUGGACUGAAUGCUUGACCAACAUGCCAUUCUAGAGUUAGCUGGUAAAUGAACAGAUGAAGAACAGGUGGAGGUACUUGGUGUCCGUUUAUCUCUCUGCCCCCCUUUUGUUUAUCAUGUCUUAGUUUUUAAUGAAGUUUCUUUAUUGCUUUCUUGUCACUGCCAUGGUAUUUAGGUUCUACUUUUACAUACCAGCUCUGGCUAAUAUGAAUGGCAGUUUUUCUGUGACCUUUACAUCUCCUGAUAACAAAAGCCGUUAAGCUACUGAGGAUAUCAACCCACAGGGCUUCUGUUUGAAACAAUGUUAUCAGUGUUAUCAGUACACCACAGAGACUCGCACAGACAGCACAAACAGUCAAGCGAAGCACACCAUCUGAUUACCUUGUAAUCCGAACCAGUAAAAUUACCAUAUAGUACAUAAUACUUGAAAAAUAGAGCCCCACCCUUGUUAGCACAUGGCAGAUGUUUUACUCGGAUAAUCUAACAUAAAGCAACAUACAAGGA